UACCCCCUGGAUUUAAAUAUUAUAAUAAAGGGAAGAAAAAAAAAUAAAUUAGAAUCCCCUAAUAACGGGGAACGAAAAGGGAAAAAUCCCACACCGAAAAUCGG
rnacentral:rRNA from 1 species